CCCGAGGCUCAACCACGGGACUGCUUUUGGAACUACAUGGCUGGAGUGCCGGAGAGGUAGGCGGAAUUCCUAGUGUAGCGGUGAAAUGCGUAGAUAUUAGGAGGAACACCAGUGGCGAAGGCGGCCUACUGGACGGUGACUGACGCUGAGGCUCGAAAGCGUGGGGAGCAAACAG
rnacentral:rRNA from 1 species